rnacentral:rRNA from 1 species
GACGAACGCUGGCGGCGUGCCUAAUACAUGCAAGUAGAACGCUGAAGGAGGAGCUUGCUUCUCUGGAUGAGUUGCGAACGGGUGAGUAACGCGUAGGUAACCUGCCUGGUAGCGGGGGAUAACUAUUGGAAACGAUAGCUAAUACCGCAUAAUAGUAGAUGUUGCAUGACAUUUGCUUCAAAGGUGCAAUUGCAUCACUACCAGAUGGACCUGCGUUGUAUUAGCUAGUUGGUGGGGUAACGGCUCACCAAGGCGACGAUACAUAGCCGACCUGAGAGGGUGAUCGGCCACACUGGGAAUGAGACACGGCCCAGACUCCUACGGGAGGCAGCAGUAGGGAAUCUUCGGCAAUGGACGGAAGGCUGACCGAGCAACGCCGCGUGAGGGAAGAAGGUUUUCGGAUCGUAAAGCUCUGUUGUAAGAGAAGAAAGAGUGUGAGAGUGGAAAGUUCACACUGUGACGGUAUCUUACCAGAAAGGGACGGCUAACUACGUG